rnacentral:misc_RNA from 1 species
GAUGAAGAACGUAGCGAAAUGCGAUACUUGGUGUGAAUUGCAGAAUCCCGUGAACCAUCGAGUCUUUGAACGCAAGUUGCGCCCGAAGCCAUUAGGCCGAGGGCACGCCUGCCUGGGCGUCACACGUCGUUGCCCCCCCAUCUACUCCUUCGGGAUUGCGGGGGGCGGAUGAUGGCCUCCCGUGCGCCUCGCCGCGCGGUUGGCAUAAAUGCCAAGUCCUCGGCGACGCACGCCACGACAAUCGGUGGUUGCGAAACCUCGGUUGCCCGUCGUGUGCGGUCGUCGCGCAUCGAGGGCUCGAAAAAAUUGCCGGGUUCCGGCUCGGCUUUCAACGCGACCCCAGGUCAGGCGGGGCUACCCGCUGAAUUUAAGCAUAUCAAUAAGCGGAGGA